rnacentral:misc_RNA from 1 species
UCUUCCCUCAGGAGGUAGCUGUGAA